rnacentral:rRNA from 1 species
UACGGGGGGGGCAAGCGUUGUUCGGAAUUACUGGGCGUAAAGGGCUCGUAGGUGGCCAACUAAGUCAGACGUGAAAUCCCUCAGCUUAACUGGGGAACUGCAUCUGAUACUGGAUGGCUUGAGUUCGGGAGAGGGAUGCGGAAUUCCAGGUGUAGCGGUGAAAUGCGUAGAUAUCUGGAGGAACACCGGUGGCGAAGGCGGCAUCCUGGACCGACACUGACGCUGAUGCACGAAGGCCAGGGGAGCAAACGGG